rnacentral:rRNA from 1 species
ACCCAGACUCCUACGGGAGGCAGCAGUGGGGAAUAUUGCACAAUGGGGGGAACCCUGAUGCAGCGACGCCGCGUGGGUGAAGGAGCACCUCGGUGCGUAAAGCCCUAUCGGCAGGGAAGAAGCAAGACGGUACCUGACUAAGAAGCCCCGGCUAACUACGUGCCAGCAGCCGCGGUAAUACGUAGGGGGCGAGCGUUAUCCGGAUUCACUGGGUGUAAAGGGAGCGUAGACGGCCAUGCAAGCCAGGGGUGAAAGCCCGGGGCCCAACCCCGGGACUGCCCUUGGAACUGCAUGGCUGGAGUGCGGGAGGGGCAGGCGGAAUUCCUGGUGUAGCGGUGAAAUGCGUAGAUAUCAGGAGGAACACCGGCGGCGAAGGCGGCCUGCUGGACUGCAACUGACGUUGAGGCCCGAAAGCGUGGGGAGCAAACAGGAUUAGAUACCCCUGUAGU